rnacentral:rRNA from 1 species
UAACACGUGGGCAACCUGCCUGUAAGACUGGGAUAACAUCGAGAAAUCGGUGCUAAUACCGGAUAAUAAAAAGAACUGCAUGGUUCUUUUUUGAAAGAUGGUUUCGGCUAUCACUUCCAGAUGGGCCCGCGGCGCAUUAGCUAGUUGGUGGGGUAACGGCUCACCAAGGCGACGAUGCGUAGCCGACCUGAGAGGGUGAUCGGCCACACUGGGACUGAGACACGGCCCAGACUCCUACGGGAGGCAGCAGUAGGGAAUCUUCCGCAAUGGACGAAAGUCUGACGGGGCAACGCCGCGUGAGUGAUGAAGGUUUUCGGAUCGUAAAACUCUGUUGUUAGGGAAGAACAAGUGCCGUUCGAAAGGGCGGCACCUUGACGGUACCUAACGAGAAAGCCACGGCUAACUACGUG